rnacentral:lncRNA from 1 species
AAACCCUAAAUAAAUAUCACCACCUCCAUAUUUACGUACAACAAUCAUGAGGUUUUAUAAUUCUUUUGCAAACCCUUCUUCCUCCCACUUGUUGCGACGGCUAUGGACCCCUCCUCACCUUUGUCGAAGUCUCUUCUUCUUAGAAAUCAAUUUCUUGGGUUGGUUGACCAACUGGGAACUGGUAAAGUAAGUUAGCAAUCCGAGCAAAACCAAGGUCGUUAGGUAACUUGGAAUUGGGAACUUGCUGUUUGGAAUAGCUGGAGUGGUCAUGGGUCGACAGGAAGGAUUUAUAUGACUGAUUUCUUGAUACUAUGCUUGGGUUUUGAAACAAUUUAAUUUCGCUUACUAUUUGCUUCCGCUGAACUUAUAGAUUUUCGUUUAAACUUAUUGAAGAUGUUUUUAUUAAUAAUGGGGAUUUUAAUUAUAACUUGUAUGGGUUCAAUGUGAUUGGUGGCUCGUUAUUGGUAUGUCACACGCCUAACAG